rnacentral:lncRNA from 1 species
AAAUUAGCUAUAUGACUAAGAAUUCACUAAUAUUUUACACUUGUUUAGGAUUGCCUUGCUGUGGGAAGCAGUUUCCUCAUGGAAAGUCCCAUCUGCUGUGUUCUUAUUCUCGACUUGUGGAUCUGCCCAUGUACCUGGAGGAUGCUGCAGAGAUGGCACAGGAAGCUGGUGGAUGCGUGUGUGAGGGAUGGAGAUCAUUAAGACCAACAGCACACUGCACAGAAAUCAUCUCUUUAAUCAGAGAAGCUUAAAAACAGGCCAUGGGACUAAGGUGGAGCAGGGCUAUGAGAACCAACAAAUAAAAAAGAAAAAGAAAACGGAAGUCAUUUGUAGAAUCAAAGUAAGGACAACUGCUCUCUCAUCCCCUUUCAUUUCUCCAACAAGCUGAGAGUUCCA